UUCUAAUCAGCACAAUGCGAUAACACCUGUGAUGUGUAAUGAGGAGCAACCAGAUGCUGCACUUGACACCUUUAUGGAAUUGCUUAUUCCAUUUACUAAUAAUGCACCCAUUAAGAAAUUUACUGUAAAAAAAAAACUGUUAAAUCUGCGUGGAUUGAUGAUGAAUUGAAAAAUGUGAUGAUUGAGAGGGAUGAGGCAAAAGGAAUGGCAAAUAAGUCUGGCUGCAAGGCCAAUUGGUAAACAUACAGUAAAUUGAGAAAUCAUGUGACUAAACUGAACCAAAAUAAGAAGAAACUAUGAAACAAAGAUAAAUAAUAUAAAGAAUGAUAGUGAAAAGCCUUGGAGCACCUUAAAUGAAAAUUUUCAUUGAAUCGGAUGGCUCGUUCAUCUCAAAACCCACUAAUAUUGCCAACUACAUGAAUAGUUUUUUCAUUGGCAAAAUUAGCAAAAUUAGCCAACAACAAAUUCUGAACAUACCCUGCAUAACUGAUCAAAUUAUGAAAGACAAACAUUGUCAUUUUGAAUUCUGUAAAGUGAGUGUGGAAUAGGUGAAAAAAUGGUUAAUAAAGCGCUGCUCUCUCUUAACAACGCUAACAAUAAGGCAGGUGCUACAGGCCCUAGUUUUGUCACACCUGGACGACUGUCCAAUCGUGUGGUCAGGUGCCACAAAGAGGGACUUAGGACAAUUGGCCCAGAACAGGGCAGCACGCCUGGUCCUUAAAUGUACAUGGAGAGCUAACAUUAAUAAUGUGCAUGUCAAUCUCUCCUGGCUCAAAGUAGAGGAGAGAUUGACUUCAACACUACUUGUAUUUGUGAGAAGUAUUGACAUGUUGAAUGCACCAAGCUGCCUGUUUAAACUACUAGCACACAGCUCAGACACCCAUGCAUACCCCACAAGACAUACCACCAGAGGUCUCUUCACAGUUUCCAAGUCCAGAACAGAAUAUGGGAGGCGCACAGUACUACAUAGAGCCAUGACUAUAGAAUGCAGUGUAUCUUUGGAGAGGGAAUCCCAGGCGAGGCCGUUGACAGACACGCAGUGACGUCAGAGACUACCCAAAACAGGUUACCCUAACUCCACACUCGAGUGCAUCUUCUCUUGAUGCAGAUUCGGAUUACAGUUAUGAUUCCCAUGGGAGUGGAUCUUUUUUGGACGCAAGCGAGGGGGAAGAGGAUACCCUCAAUGGCCUAACAGGGAUCAGCAGCACUGCGGACGUGGAAGAAGUGUCGGAGGGGCAAAAAGAACAGAGAAGCAAGGCUGCUAUUGGACACACAGUCACGUCCCAUCACCACUUCAUGUGUCACCUCCAUUAUCCCCUGGGUAUUUAAACCUGUGUUUUCUGUCUGUCUGUGCCAGUUUGUCUUCUAUGUUCCAAGUCAACCAGCGUGUUUUUCCCUAGCUCCUGCCUUUUCUAUUCUCUUUUGCUAGUCCUCCCGGUUUUGACCCUUGCCUGUUUUCUGGACUCUGUACCUGCCAGCCUGAUCAUUCUGCCAGCCCUGACCUCGAGCCUGCCUG
rnacentral:lncRNA from 1 species